CCUGGCUCUCCUCCGUUUUCCUGGACAAGAGCAACGACAAGACUGAUCACACACCACGCACAUACACCGGCUAGUCCUAUGAUCUUAUUACACGUGUUUGUCCUCCUCUCCACCAUCCGACCACACUCCAGCAUAACGAGUCCACGCAGAGAGCGAACUGAAAGAAGCCCCCCCCCAAAAAAAAAAAAAACGGCCCUUCGGGUCGGGAGUCAGCACUGAAAAACCAAGCAUGCCGACGCACGUAAGCAAGCAGAUGGUUUCCAGAAUGGAGCGCGGGUGUGUGCAGAUAUCCACCCACACCUGAGCACAGCACAACUCGCAAGGCGACAGCAUCAUUCACAGAUACAAGAAAGUGCAGGCAUCGAAUUAGGCUCGGAGCAGGCUGGAUAGACCGAUGCCUGCAGACUCUUUUUUUUUAGCCUGUCGCACUAACAGUCUACAAACUGCUACACUUUUUGUCUCUUUGGUGGACAGGGACUUUUUUUUCGGUGUGGGUGGGGAGGGGGCGCCCUGCGUUAACGCGACUCGUGCCUCGCGACUAUCUGUGCCACCUCUCCGACUCUCUUUGUGCUGUUGAUGAGUUUCGCACUGUGUCUUUCUCCUUGACUGGUUGCCUGCACCGCUUCUUCGGACUCUCAUCAUCAUGAUCAUCAUGAUCAUCUCUCUCCUCCACAGCGCCACAACGGCAAAAAGGGUUCAGUGAGGGAGGGAUGAGGCAACGCACAACGGAAAUACUUCGCAAGCCAAGUAAACGCACUCACGAAAAGCACAUGAAGGCCAGCUACGAACGAAGCGAAGCGCUCAGCGACAGUCUCUUGACCACUUUUUUGUUUCUUAAUGUGCUUUCCCUUGACUCGUCGUGUAUCGUAGCAUCUCCGCGUUGCUGUUGCGUGUCCCUUUUCUUUUCGUUUUCGCUUUUUUGUACCGCUCGCAUACCCACCCAGCUCCCUCUGUUCACUUCAUCACCUACACUUGUCGGUGCCACGCCCUAAUGGGGCUCCAGCAUUGCUGUAGUGGCACUCUCUAGAUCCCUUCUUUUUUUUUUUUUCGGGGUUUCCGCCUCUGCUGUCUUUUUGUUCGCGCCUGAUCGCCUCUGUUUUAUCACGGGCGAAGCGGUAUCGGGCAACGCCAGCGAAGGGCGGAAGACGAGUAACGACAGCGACAAAAGAAUGCCAGCAGACGGGGGCGCAAAGCGGAUGCGGAUCACAACACAAACGGAAGGGCAGGGAUCCAUCAUGGCUAAGCAGUCGAGGAGCGUUAGGGCGCUCCACCCGAAGGCGACAAGCUGCAGCAGCGUAGGACGGGAAGCGUUCUCGCUACAAUUUUUUGUUUCUGCUUUUUAUUUGCUUGGCUGUCUCUUGAGGUUGCUGUCGCGCGUCUUUUUGUGUUGAUUGUGCGUACUACGUAUGCUUGUGUGUGUGUGUGUGUGCGUGGGGAGGGCAAAAUGAUAAGGAAAGCAAAACGAACUCAGAGCAGCAGAGAACGCAAAAACGGGAAUCUGUUCGCCUCUCUAUCCUGUAGGCAGUGAGGUAUACCCUUCCAUUCCCUUUGCCUUUUUUUUUCAUGCGUUCUCCCCGUGUCUCCGAUACCCUCCGCUCAUGACUUCAGUCCACCAACCUUCUCGGCAGAUUUCUUCUCUUUUUUUGGUGCGAUUCUCUCUCCCGCUGGAACUCCUCCUCCUUCUCUUUGCCACGUUCUUCUCUUGUCGGCGUCACCCCAACCACCCCCUCCCUCCCCCUUUUCUCCGACGAGCUCCCUCGCCUUCGCUCGGCUAUUGUCUCAAUAACGAUUUUUUUGUUUUGUUGUUGUUGAGCUCUGCUCGACUUUCCCCCUUUCCCUCCUUUCGCGCUCGGUCUUCUCUUCGCCCAGUUCAACGGUUUGCAUGGCGUGAGAGAGAUUUUAUUUUUGCCUUUUCUCAUCGUCUCCUCUUAUCCUCUAUCCUCUAGUGCGCUUUUUCUUUGCGUUUUUAUUUUUUUCUCUGUCCCUUCCUCGUCUGUCCUUGCCUCACCGAUCCCCUUCAGAGCUCCACGCUGCUCACACACGUGCCCCAUGCGCAGCGGUUUCCCGCGCCCCAACGGGUACGCCCUCUUGCGGGCUACGAGCGGGUUUCUCCAGGGGAAGAAGCGCUAGCGUCGCACAGGCGACGACUCCGCCGUUUUGCGAAGCUCCUCUACUCUCUGCGGAAAGGUGGCGCAGCACGCGCCGCCACAAACUCAAGAGGGGCCGCGGCGCUGCACAACAAUGCCGCCACCGCGCUGGGCAUGGUGGGGUGUGGCUGGGGCUCGGCCGGCUGCAAAGAAGGCUUGGUGAACAAACGCGCCGAAAGGUGGGGUGUGGCUGCUGUUGCGAGCGCGCUCUCCCUCCUCGCGGCGCUCGGUGGGGGCCGUGCGGGGGCGUGGGGCGGCGCAUUGCGACAUAUCUGGGCACGAAUGCUGGCGCCACCAGCCCGUCGCGUUCGCCUGUCAUUUCGCUCUGUCUUUGUCCAUUGUGCACCGGAACACGGCGGCGAAGCAUGCAAGUUUGCAAAAUCGACAUUGCCAGAGGCGCCGGCGCAAGACGCCAGACCGACAUCCCGCGAAACCGUGCUACGUGAUGCGACGUUCCACGACAAGAGCUUCUUCACGGCAGCUGUCGCACACCAGGGGGGGGGGUACGGCUGCUGAGCCUACGGGUCGGUGGGGGACUCUCCUCCCCCAGUUCCGCUCGGGCAUCUGUCCGCACUCUGGGUUCGCGGGGCGGCGGGUGGCUGGCAGCGGCGCCGUAUGGGGUGCGGGCGGUGCGUUGCCCAGUGCUGCGCUGGCGCUGUGGUGCCCACCCGCGUUUGCCAUGAGAGUGUCUGGCAAGGCGCUUUUCCCGCUGCGCCAGGCGGGGCUCGCGCAUCGCUCGGGGGCUCGGGGCACACUCGGUUUCACGCGGUGAUCCUGCACACGGUGGCCUGAUUACGUUCACCUCGCUCUCGCUGCAUGGGCUUCCCCGCCGGGUGCCCAUCGCUGCUCCCCCGCGCUCUCUCGGGGGUGCUGGCGACGGGUUCUUUGUGCGCCGCCGCCUCUGCAUCCGCGGGCCCCUUCCGCCUGGCCCGCCCACUCAUGUCAAAGGGGUUUGGAUCCAGCGGCGGGCGGAGUGCCCCCUGCUGCCGCAGCGCCCCAGCUAUCGCGGCGUAUGCGGUCCAGCCAUCCAGACACGCCCCCCCCCCCUGGCAUUGGGGGGGGGAACGGAGGAUGACGGCAGGGAACCUCCCCUCCAGACAGCAACGCCGCGCUGUGAAGCCGGCCCCCGGUUCCGAAGAAUUGGAGCACUGUGCGCGCGCGCCGCCAAGCACAGACGGCAAUGGCGUAUCACACCCGAGCAAGUCAUGCGGAGGCCAGAGGGGCAAGGGUGUUGGACGAAAAGUGCGCGAAGCGAUCCAUGCCGGCGCACCCCACAGUGCAUGUGCGCAGCAUGUGCGGUAUCCCCAUCCGACCGGUGUGGGCUGAUUGCGGCACAGGUGCGGGAGGCAUGACGAGAACACCCCGAGCUGCACUACCGAGCCCACCGGACCCCAAUGUGAAGAGCCCUUGCACCAUGCUAUGGGAUGCAGCGGCUUUAGGCCACUCAGUGAGAAGCAUGGCGCGCAGGCAGGGCAGAGGGUCUCAGAGGGUCCUGACCUGAGGCUGGCCAGCUUGCCCCCGAGUUCAUCCGGCAUACACCUGGAACAAACCAUGCUCCCCGCACGCCAGACGCCGCCGCCGGCGCCCUCGAGGGCAGGACGCUGGGCUCGGCCUGCGUGGGUCGAAGCGCGUCGUCCACCCAGGCCCGUCUGGCGCCGGAGGUCCAGCACACACAUGAGGAAGGACGAGAAGGGUUCGUUAGAAGAAUGGGCCGGCUCACCGGCGGAUGGUUCGCCCUAGACGACCAGGGUGGAGCCGCAGUGCGAGAGAGGCUGAUGAACGGUGUUUGCGCGCGUAAUGUUUCUUGACUUUCUCCUAGUAGCGUGGACACGAAGUGAAAAGGGACCCAUUCUCUUACCUCUUCUUCUGCCUCGCCUCCCCGUCAAGAGGCACUGGAGGAGGACAUUAUAGUGUGUGAUCCGUGUGCGCCUCCUCGACGAUCUUGUGUGUGCCCCUCUCUGGUUUUGUCAUCUGUGUCUCGAUUUGGUGCACGUUGGUCUGACCAUCUCUCGCAGGGAAGAGCCGAACGAAGCGUUCAGCGCGUUCUUCUCCCUCUGCAACCUCCAACACCCCGUGACGGUUACGAGUCACGCUUGAAUAACCGACGGAUGUGCACUAAAGCGAGAAAG
rnacentral:misc_RNA from 1 species